GACGUAGGGUCCAAGCGUUUGUCCGGAUUUACUGGGCGUAAAGAGCGCGUAGGCGGCUCGUUAAGUGUAGAGUGAAAUCUCUGGGCUCACCCCAGAAACUGCUCUGCAUACUGGCGAGCUGGAGUGAUGAAGAGGUUUGUGGAAUUCCUGGUGUAACGGUGAAAUGUGUUGAUAUCAGGAGGAACACCCAUGGCGAAGGCAGCAAACUGGUCAUCAACUGACGCUGAGGCGCGAAAGCGUGGGUAGCAAACAGG
rnacentral:rRNA from 1 species